rnacentral:rRNA from 1 species
GACGAACGCUGGCGGCGUGCUUAACACAUGCAAGUCGAACGGAAAGGCCCCUUCGGGGGUACUCGAGUGGCGAACGGGUGAGUAACACGUGAGUAACCUGCCCUGACUUCGGGAUAACUUCAGGAAACUGGGGCUAAUACCGGAUAGGAAUCCUUGCUGCAUGGUGGGGGUUGGAAAGCUUCGGCGGUUUUGGAUGGACUCGCGGCUUAUCAGCUUGUUGGUGGGGUAGUGGCUUACCAAGGCUUUGACGGGUAGCCGGCCUGAGAGGGCGACCGGCCACAUUGGGACUGAGAUACGGCCCAGACUCCUACGGGAGGCAGCAGGGGGGAAUAUUGCACAAUGGGCGGAAGCCUGAUGCAGCAACGCCGCGUGCGGGAUGACGGCCUUCGGGUUGUAAACCGCUUUCAGCAGGGGCGAAGCUUGUGGUGACGGUACCUGCAGAAGAAGCACCGGCUAACUACGUG